rnacentral:misc_RNA from 1 species
GUAGGUGAACCUGCGGAAGGAUCAUUACUGAAUUGUCAACACGAGUUGUUGCUGGUCCUCAAAUGGGGGCAUGUGCACGCUCUGUUUACACAUCCACUCACACCUGUGCACCCUCUGUAGUUCUGUGGCUGGGGGGACUCUGUCCUCCUGCUGCGGUUCUAUGUUUUUACACACACUCUGUAUUAAAGUCUCAUGGAAUGUAUCCUGCGUUUAACGCAAUACAAUACAACUUUCAGCAACGGAUCUCUUGGCUCUC